GCACCAACUGUCCUUCCUACAUCCACUGCAGUUUGCAAUCCAGAUGUUGGACUGUUCCUGUCUCAGUGGAGGACAAUGUGUGUCUGAGAGACAUGUAAUGUCCAUGUUUGCUGCUGAAAGAGACUGAUGGUCUGACCCCCCUCCUCCUUUCAGGGUGGAGCCUGCUGGAGGCCCAUUCUUGACACCAGGUCCAUGGAGACUGAGGAAGUAUUCCUGUCAACUCACCAUCAACACAAACACAGUGAGCAGAAAACUCAAACUGUCUAAAGACAACAGGAAGGUGACAUGGAUGGAGGAGCUUCAGUCAUAUCCUGAUCAUCCAAACAGAUUUGAUGACUGGAAUCAGCUGCUGUGUACAACUGGUCUGACUGGCCGUUGUUACUGGGAGGUCAAGUGGAGAGGAACAGUUUUUAUAUCAGUGAGUUACAGAAGAAUCAAGAGGAAAGGAAACGGUAUGGACUGUUUGUUUGGAGGGAAUGAUGAUUCCUGGAGUCUGAACUGCUCUGAUGUUGGUUACUCUGUCUGUCACAAUAACAGACCAACUCAUCUCUCCUCCUCCUUUGACUCUAACAGAGUAGCAGUGUAUGUGGACUGUCCUGCUGGCAUUCUGUCCUUCUACAGAGUCUCCUCUGACUCACUGAUCCACCUCCACACCUUCAACACCACAUUCACUGAACCUCUGAUUCCUGGAUUAACAGUCUGGUCUGGAUCCUCAGUGUUUCUGUGCUGAGUUGAGUCUAAAGAGUCUAAAGAUUUUCCUCCUGUCAGAGAAACUCUCUCACUGUUGAACAGAUAGUUCAUCUCUACAAUCUAUUUCUUGGUGAAACAAUUUUGAUUGAGUCCUUGGAAACCUUUUCUACUUCCAGUUUUUUAAAGAUGGAAGCUGGAAUUAUUCAAGGAUUAUUCCAGGAUUAUUCCAGGAUCCACAUGUUUUUGUGUUGUUUCCAGUCAAAGCUUCACUCUGAAUAUCAAGAUGUUUCUCUUAGUUUUUCCCUUCAUUCAUCAGAUUUCAUUGACAUGUUGAUCAGUUUUUCUCAAUCCCUGAACAUUUUCUGAUUUUGUCGGCUCCUAUUUUUCUAAACACGUCAGAUUUGAAUGUUAAAUCUUCCUUUUCUAUAUUUGCUGCAGUUUUUCUUCAUGUGUUCUAGAGAAAUAAA